rnacentral:tRNA from 1 species
GCCUUGGUGGCUUAGUUGGUUAAAGCGUGAGUCUCAUAUCUGAGUGUCAUCUCAAGGUCGUGGGUUCGACUCCCUCCCGAGGCA